AUGGACUCAGGUUCAAGUUCCGAAGUAAUUACACAUAUAGAAAUCCAAAAAGAAAUCGAUACGAUCCACGUCAUAAUCCAUAUUGGAUUCCCAAAUUUAUUAAAGAAAAAAGGAGCAAUCGAAUAAUUAGAGAAAGAUCUACAAAAGGAAAUUAACUCUGUAAACCAGAGAUUUAAUAUUUCUAUCAAAAAAGUGAAAGAACCUUAUAGACAGCCUAACAUUCUUGCAGAAUAUAUAGCUUUCCAAUUAAAAAAUAGAGUUUCAUUCCGAAAGGCAAUGAAAAAAGCCAUUGAAUUAACUAAAAAAGCAGAUAUAAGGGGAGUAAAAGUAAAAAUUGCGGGUCGUCUCGGAGGAAAAGAAAUUGCACGCGCCGAAUCUAUUAAAAAGGGUAGACUUCCCCUCCAAACAAUUUGCGCUAAAAUUGAUUAUUGCUGCUAUCCAAUUCGGACUAUCUAUGGAGUAUUAGGUGUAAAAAUUUGGAUAUUCGUAGACGAAGAAUAA
rnacentral:rRNA from 1 species